rnacentral:piRNA from 1 species
AGAGUGAAAAUAGAGGGAAGUGUCAUGC